UGAAGUUUAUACCCUCUUUUUUCAUUACUGUUAAUUGACUUCUGCUUAAUAUCUGUCCAUGUUUAGUGUGUUGACUUUAAUACCAGCAUUUGCAGUGCCAGUAACACUAUAUAAAGGUGUACUUAAUGCAUCAUCACUGCUAAGUCAGAAGGACCCAUUUUAACAACAUUUUGGCCUCAUAAAAGAAGUUGCAUUACAAAGCAACUUUUUUUAACUUUUCCACACAAGUUUUCUCAUGAUUUCCUUCUAAGUAAAAGGUCUUUCACUCCCACCUUAUUAAAUACAGUGGCUCAGUUUAUGGCCCACAGUAAGGUGGGCUGUUAUAUCUUUGCAGUAGUAAUGAACAUGCAGCAUUUUAAAUUAAUUAAUAAAAAAAAAAAUGUGCAAACAAACAUUCAGUGAUUUGGUAAUUUUUGGUGUGCUUUCAUUUUCCAAAUGGUUGCAGGUUUUUUAAGGUUUCCUCCAAAAUUGAAUUGCGGUUUGUGGUCUGGGUUUUAAAUGGUGUGCACAAUGGUGAUUUUAUCAGCACAAUGUGAAAAAUAGAACUUAUGUAUGUUUAGUUACAGAUCUUUAAAAAGGAACCUACUUAUUAAUAGGAAAUAUCAAUUGGCCUUGACCUCCACUCCAGUCAGACAUUUGCACUGUGUCCUUUGUCACCUGACUUCAGUAUGAAAACAACAGGCUUUAGGGGAACGUCCAGAACCUAUACUCAAAGAGUUACUGAGGACAGAACCUGGAUGUUAGUUUGGGUGAUAAUAACUUCUCAAAAAUAGUGAGUUAAGAAGUUGGUGUUCAUGAGUUAUUUGCUUAAAGGGUAGUGGAGAUGGUUUUGAAGUUGAAGUCAGUACUUGUCGGUAUUUGCAGCCCGUUAUGGAGAGAGCAGCCUCAGGCUUGACUCAGAAGCUCGGGUAGACAUCCCUGUAGACAGGACCACUUAUAUUGGGUAGUCUAGCUAAAUUUAAUUUAGCCCACUGAGGCUAUGUAUGUACAAUGUAUAGAGAAAUAUUGUGCACAUUGUGCCGAUACCUGCUUAUCAGCUAAUCCACAGUAACUAGCAUAAAAUUUUCACCUUCAAAACUGCCCAUUUUUUAAAAUUAGACUGUAUUUUUAGUCUCAUUUAGAGCCCAAACAUCUGAGCGGUGUACUGGAGGCAGAUGGAAACUUAAUUUGUAAACAGAAGCAGCAAUCAACAUGGCAGCUGUGUGAUGGCUAAGAAAAGGAUGUAAGAUUUUCUUCAUAUUUUGUACACUUUUGGUCUCAGGUCCUUAAACUCAAUCACAAUACACAGUACAAGUGGCCUCAUCUGCAGAGGUCUGUGCCAGUUCUUCAAUCUCAACAAAAGGGCAGAGUUUUGUGCUCUCACCACUUUACAAAGCCAGGGAUGAUCACAUCAUAAAAAAGUGCAAUUCACAUUCUGCCUUAAAAACAGAGUGAUGGGGAGGUUGAGGCUCCUGAACAACCAACAACAGGCAUGAUAAUGAUUGUGCAGUUAAUGCAGAAGGUGUGUAGCUUGAAAUAAAGAGUUACUCAUGGCUCAUACUUCGUCAUUGUGGUGGGAGGCUCUCCAACAAAUCAUUGUGUUGAUGGUAAUAGUGGUCAUUAUCAGUGUGGCUCAUAGAAAGCUGUAUCAUAUAUCACACACGGAGCCUGACAGUGAUAACGGCUGUGAAGUUAACCUCACUGUGCUGAUUUCAGGGUUAAGUUUGAGGUUAACUUUGAAUCUUGAUCAGCACAAAUCGAGCAUGCUCACUCCUACUCCUAGUCAUUACUCUGUGCCAGUAUGUAUGAAUCUCACCUCCUAUAACACGUCAACAUUAACCUCAAAGCUGCUACACACCCACAGUCCACCCACACGUGUGUUUUCACUGAUGUUGCCUGAUUCAAUCUCAUAUCUAGACUGUUUGUGCAAAGUGUUUGAUUGGCAUCUCGCUCAUCUUUGUCACAGUAGACAUGUUUUAGUGUUGCAAUGCAGGAAAAGGUGAAAAUCAAGUGUUUCUGUGAGCAGCCUAAGAUACUCACCAAAGUUGAAACAUCUAGUUUUUCUUAUGUCAGUCCAUUAUGUCUGCUGUGAAAAAGGUCCAGCUCAUUUUGGUAAACCUGCUUUUUCCAUCAGUUGAAUAAGAUACAAGAAAGCUAUCUAAUUUGUUAUAGAGGAAAUAAUACAACAAAUUUUAAAACCUGUAUUACUUUAGACAGCUUUGCAAACAAUUUUUACCCCAAACUUACAACGAAUGUCUUUCCCUGCAAUUUCAUAUUCAUUUCGAGUUUUCUGAUGUAUUCCUGGAGCUGUUUCACCACCAUCUUCCAUUUUGCAUUUCUAAGCAGCUCGACAGCACAUCAAAGAGGUAAACACUGAAAACACAUCCUGAUUUCAUUCAUUUAUAUAAUGUGAAUGUUCAUACCUCUCUCAGAGUAUGCUUAUUUUUGUCAUGUUGACUGUAGAAACUCAUGACAUAGAACCUGCUUGGAAUAAACAUUUUCUAAACGGUCUGCAUAACAUCCUGUUACCACAAAUAUGUAUAACAUAUACCUGUCUUGUUAAGCAAGUGGAACAUUUGAGGUUCAUGGUAAAUAAUGCCAAUUAAGGCAAUGACAUCCAGGGAUGGUAGUUGGAUAUGAAGAUACUUGCACAGCUCUUUAUACUCAAAUCUCUGCUGAUUUUUAAUUAAUCCUAUUUUAUCAAUUUCUUAGGUCAGCUGUGUUUGAUCGAGCUGUUGCCCUUAAUGCCUCUACCUGCGUACCUGUCUCUCUGCUUAGUUUGUGUCGGUAUGAUCAUUUUAAACCAGUUUAUUUGGUAAACAGCACAGUUUCUUGAUCAGACUAACCCCUAAAAAUAUGUUAUAAUGUCCAAAAAUACACCCUGUAGGAUAUGAUUCAGAGUCUCUCUUCCAUUUUCUGUGUAUGUCACUGUGCUACCAGCAUUUUAUAUGUAAAUUAACAAAUUAUCAGGUCCCGCCUCCCAAAGUCCCUUGGCCAUUAGAAAGUACCACCCCCUAAGCAGGGGCUUUUCAAGGGGUAGGUUUUUUUCUUUUUUAACCCCAGAAAAACAUUUAGACCCUAGUUCCUGCAGUUGAAAUAUGAACAGUUCCUGAAAAGGUCUGUGGUUCCUGGGGCAAGUUCCUGCCUAGCAACAGCUGUGAUCCAUGCAUAUUUUUCUGUUAGCACAAUAGAUGCAAAAAUUAAGAGCAGCACCUAUCAGGCCCAACUUUUCCAUUUGGUCUUUCUUUUGGCUGUGUCAGUCCUAACACUGCCAAAGCAUAAUUGUAUUAUGGUUUGUGUUUUGUUUUCUUCAAUUUGGUUGAUGUCAGUUUUACUUUAGCUCCUUCUGAACUUUUGCCAUCUGCCUUUUGUCUUGUUUAGGCUGGUGGCUGGUCAUUUAUUAACCUGGAGUUUAAAGUAUUUGUGUUUUCCAAAUAAGCUGACUUACAUCAAAAAUACCCAGUUUUGGGCCUAAUCAGAAUCAAGUAUCCAGCACAGCCAGGUGAUACUUACGAAAACUCAUUCACAAUUGUUAUUAUUCUAUGAGCCUAUAGGGAACUCAGUUGUAACAAUAAGUGGUGAGUUAAUUAUCUCCUGGACGCAUAUACGUUUUUGCCUUUUUGUCACUGGUGGAGCUUUGGUAUUGCAUGUAAAGGAUGUACUUUGAGUAGCUGGUGCUCUAAUCUUACACCACAGGCUUAUUCAUCAAGACUAGAAAGAAAAAUAAAACAAAAUCAACUGAAAUGCUUUGUUUUAUUUUUCGUCUUGGGUGGUUGAGACAAACGCUGCCUUAAAAAGUGGAUCAGUGUAAAACUUUCUAUAAAUACUUAAGCAAAGUACCCCUGACUCUAAAUGAUACUUUGCCAAAGUAGCUGACUAAUGUACUAAGCCGCUUUAUAAGUCAAAAGCUUUAAAUCACAGUCAUUUUGAGUCAUCACGGUAAAGCAGCCUUGAAGGUCAUUAAAACCCUUAUUAUGUGACAGAUGAGCUUUAAAAUCGUAGCUAAACCAAUUCAUGUUGAGCAGCAGCUGACUUUGCUUCGUACACGAGCAUGGCCUGUGAUUAAUGUGCUGCCUUUAUCCUCUAGGCGCAAAGCUACACCUGUUUCUAUUUUAUUACAUUGAUCUAUGAGAGAUCAAUGAAGGCGAGGGAACAGUUGAAGACAAGUGGAGGAGACAGACCUUUUGGGAUGGCCCCUGGAGUCUAUGUGUUUGUUUGUGUGUAUACCAGGGAUCGUGUUUUCUCCUGCAGACCUCCCAGGAGAGAGCAUUGAGGCUUUCUUUGAGCGCCUUCUCUCUCUAAUCAAUAGCUCAUAUAUUAUCAUGAAACACACAGGUCCUCUUAAGACAAACGUAUUAUUAUUUUUUUCAUGUAAAGGUCAAAUGAAAUGUAAAAGUUCUGAUAAUAGGAGAAAUGUCUGUUUUGCUGUUACUUCAAACACAACGAGGGUCCCCUCUGUAUUCAGGUCAUGAAAAUGUGCUUUGUGCUGUUAAAUAUUUACAUCUCUGCGCCUCAUUUUGGAAAACUAACAUCCUCUUCCACCAUGUCUUAAGUAAGUCAACAGUAUACUGCAGACUUUAUGAUUGACAGCUGAUCUCUAAUGACUCCAACACCAGGUAACUCAUGCAGCAGCACCUUAAAGUGUCUGUGGCUACAGCUGCAAUCAUCCCUCUUUCCCUCCCCUGCAUGCUAAUCUGUCUUGUUUGCCUUUCUUUCCAUCCAUCCAUUCAUCGUCUCCUUUUCCUGUCUCUUCUCUUUGCUGUACCUGAGCUGAAUUAUGAUCCUUCCUUCUUGCCUGAUACAUUGUGAUUGAUUGGGCUUUCCAGCUUACUAAUGAAUUGGCCCCUCAAGGACGUGUAGCGGGCCAGCUCUGGUAUUAAUGUGGACUGUGCUGAAGGCAGCUCAAAGACUCCUGACACCACAGAUUUAGCACUUACACUGUUUGUUUGGAUUUGGCUUUAGCAGGGGGUGUGUUGGGUUUAAUUUUUAAAUAGCUACAAAUUGCAUUUCUAAUAGCUUUUUGCAUAUUGUCUAAGAGUGACAUGCUGCAGGGAAAAAGAGCUGUCUGUUUUGUUGUGAUGACAUGGCAAGUAUCAGAUUAAUACACAGGACACACAGCGUAUCUAUCAUGGUGCACAACAGUCCCUUAGUAAUGCAAAAAGUGAAGCAUGCUUUUAAAUCAACAGUAAAUCAAAUAUUUUUUCCCUCAUAUUUUUCUCUGUGAAACAGUGAAAUGGCUCAUGUGCUUUCAGUGGAUCUAACGUCUAAGCUGGACUAUCAGGUACUAUGUGUGGUGUCUUCCUGAUGACAAACUCAUCAAAUGAUCUCUAGAGGGAUUUUCUUCCAAAGCUUUACACCUUCUUUUAGCUCAAUGUUACUCCUGGUAUGAUUCACGUAGUUCAUUGGUUUGAAAAGUAAAGGGUUUUGCUAUCAUGGUCAAAUUUGGUUUACAAAGACACACUUUCAAUACCUUAAUGAUUAUCUAAAAAGUUAGUUGUGGCCAAUACACAGUGAGAUCAAAAUGCUAUUUUAUAAUACAGAAAGUUUCAGUAUCUUACCCCCCAAAAGACUUUUCUCCCUCACAAGAAAGAAACAGUGUUAUAGUAAAUAACCAUUGUGUAGUGUUGGUGGUUCUACUCUGUUGGUAGCUGGCAUGGUACAGAUAACAGGUGGAACCAGAAAGAGCCUGACAUCUGGAUAUAAACUGCACAUUGCUGAACAUAAUGGAAGUCAUCACACUCUAACAUAGUAUAAACCUUUUUUCACUGACAGUGUCAUAUCUGUGUUACUUACAUUCUGGAUUUUAUGUUAAUAUUUGUGUUGAUGCAUUUGAUAAUUUAGGAGCCAGAUAUCUUUCUUUAAAGUUGGAGGUAACCUCAGACUGUAAAUAACAUAGACUUAGUCUCAGGGACAAUGCAAAUUUGUUUCUGAAGUGACAUUUGAAAGCCUGGUGGUAGCUGUCAUAUUAAAAAUGCCCUAGCUUUGGGUCAACUAAGUAAGACAGGCUACAGGAUACUCACCUGCCAGUCAAGUCAGCAGUGCCUUUAUUUUUGGCGCUGACUAUUGGCUUUCUAUUUCAAGGCUGGAAGUUCUUGUUUGGUUGGGACCAAUAACUAAAGUUAUGAAAGACUUCAUGUUAUGCAAACAUCUCUAAGGUGGCAAGAAAUGUGACCCCCCAAAGUUCUAAAAAUGUUCCUCUAAACACACAAUUCUUAACUGACAGGUUUCUAACCCAUGGUACAAAGAAACAUAAAGAAUAAAAGCAGGUUAACAUGCUGUGCAUAUUUUUUAAUGUUCAGAGUGAGUCUAACUGAGAGAAUAAAGGAUUACUUGUAGAUAGUCUUGAGACCUAUUAGGGCAUGUCCUUUUUUUUAGCUGAGGUAUAACAGUGAUGGUUAGCUCCAUUUAUCCAAUGCUUUAGUCACAAGUCUGUUCAGAAAGGGAGUUUAUUACAUAAAGCCAGACCGUAGUGAAAUAGCAGAUCCUAGUUAUCUUGUGAUACUGCACUACAUGAAAAAAAAAGACUCAGAUUUUCAAAGUUAAACUCAUUAAGACUGUUGAGGGACUAUGAAGGAAAAUGGUCCCAAACCCCGACUCUUGACCUGGUUUCAUCAGUGUGAGAUCUGGCCCUGAUCUGCUGGAGCUUUAAUUCUUCAAGGUUUCUGUCUGAUUUGCAUAGAAGUGUGUGCACAAAGGAAUGUUACAGAUAAAAAACGGAAUUGUAUCAGUGGGCUUAGGGGAUUUGGUCCAAUGGCUACCCAUAUGAACAUGUGACAAGAUAACCAGCACCAAAAUAAUGUCCGGUGGGUGGCUCUUAACUAGCUUGUUCAAAAACAGUUAGUUUUGCAUUCUGCAUUAGUUUGAGGAUGGCCAGUGCAUGAGUCAUAGACCAGUGUGUGAACUAAAUCCUGCCAGUCUCAAGAGGAUAUGCACCACUGAAAUUCACUUAUCAUCUUCCCUCAUUCAAAGACAAAACACUUUGAGCAUGAGUGCAAAAUGUAAAAGAAAUGAGUCACUUCAAUAUUAUUCAAUCUUCUUUGAACUGCCUGCUUACCCUCAGCUGCUGUGAUACAUCACAAUAUUUUAUGCAUUCAUCACCUGCUUCUAUGUGUUUAUCUCAUUUCCAGAGCGCAUACUGAAUCAGCACCUGCUGUGAUGGUUGGUCAUGUAAAAACAAGCCUGUGAGUCCUAAAAUACCAGGAGUAGUAAAUGCAUUUCAGUGUUUUUGAAUCAAGCUUUUACCGAGCUGAUGUGCGAACACAGUUUACCAGUGAAAUCCAAAAUAAAAAGAAAGAGCAACACAUUUGCUAUUUAUGAUAUAAUUACAAGCUUUGUUAUUUUCAUUAAACAUCUUUACAAAGGUUGGUAAAAAUCUAUGGAUUUUGUGGUCAUUUAUUGUAUAAUGUAAGCCUUUUCUGUAGACAUACAUCUCCAGUACCGGCAUUUUCUCAACUCAUAAGGGUGAAUAUGGAUCUGAGCCAUCGACGAUCAAGAAGACAGAAGCAAAUCAAGAUGAAGAUCAGUUUCAACAUCCCCCCUUUUUUUCAAGUUCGGUGUAUAUCUGUACUUUUAUGAGGCUUGAUGAAGAGAGGGCAUGUUUCUCAUUAAAAGGUUUUCAGCUCCGUUCCUCCGAUUGGUUGUUUAGCUUUCAUAUUCAGAGCAUCUAAUUAAUAAAACCAAGUGUGAGAGUACUGAUUUGUGCAGAUGAUACAAGGAAAAAAUACCUCAUAGAACCUAGAACAUAUUUCUGAAUCAACCCGGUUCUGCUGGAAAUAUGUAUUUUAUCAUUUAUAAAUGUGAUGAGAGGUUGCUUUGUAUGACUGUGCAAAACAUUUCACAGGUUACAUUUGUGGGGAUGCAAAGAAACUGGGCAAGAAAGGCCUGUGCGAGUUGAAAUGAAUGACCUGUGAGUAGACCUGAUAAGAUAAAAUGUAAUACACAAUUUGUUUGUUUGUUUGUUAGUGGUGUAAUAUAUGUGAAAAUGCGAGUACCUUGUAAAAUAGCCAGACCAAACAGAAACUCCCCGCACAGGCAUUGCCUUCACUCUCCGCUGUGAUAUGAAGAGUAAUGAUGGACUUUCUUUGAAGGGGAUCAUGUCUUUCUGAAUGUAACUUUUUUUUUUUUUACAUUUGUGUCUUUUACUUUUUCAAACAUAAGCCAUAAUAUUUUCCACCAAAUAAGGUCCCAUAUCCUUAAACCGCUCUUUUUUGUGUGCUGGUAGAACCCACAACCUCAGUCAGUAUAUUCAGAAAAAUGGAUUUACUACAGUUGGUCUGAAACUGGACUUUGAACACACAUUAGUCUGACUGAAAUCUUACUAAAUCAAACCUGAGUAACAAACCUGAAUAAUGAUUGAUUUUCUCUGUCGUGAAUAAGACAAAACCUUUGUAUCUUACAAAUUAAAGGCGAAGACCUGUAAACGUGAUGCUGUUUUUGUUGUUUGGCGUAUAUCUUUUUAGCCACAUGCCAAUGUGUUUGGUCAACACACGUUUUGGUUCAUAAUGGGUCACCUGUAAGACAACUUGAUAUUAUCGAGCUGAAAGUGGACAUAAUUCCACCUUCUGUAGAGGAGGCACAAAUGCUUCUGUCAAUUACUGGAUUCUUUGCAGUCCUUGUAAACUGGGACAAGGACUGUCAUCCAGGACAUAUUUUGGCCUAUGACCCAUAUGAGGUCUGACAGGCUCAGUGUCACUCGCUGAUCUGAGGGCAAAUAGUUUAAAUAUGACAUUAAAAUAAACUGGUCUGCAUGAGUAAUCAAGAGUGGUCAGAAAAUGUUAAGCUUGUUACACACCAUCUGUGUUUGUCACAGUAAAAGGCCUGUAAUAGGCCCCGUACCCAUUGAGGGGAUUUGUGAUAAAAAUAAAAGCAUUUUUUAAAAACUGUACUCCUUUUUUUUUCUCCCCUGAUGUUUGAUUGUGUGUCAUCACUGAAAGAGUCAAUGUGAGAUCGAAAUGCUGAUCAGAGCUACUCAGCACAUUUAGCCCGUGAUCACUCUGGUCAGCAGGCUGCAGUGCUGGAGUGCAGCUUUCAAUGCUUACAGUUAGCCUUUCAUUCAUAGGAUGUGAUCUGCACCAUGAUAAGAUUACGAAACAUGUCUCAAUAAAUAAAUAAAUAAAAAUGUUACAUUUGAUUGUCAUUGUAGCUGUGCAGUGUGCACUGACUGUGUAACAGACGGCUGUUAAAUGUCUUUACUACAUUUAAAAUGCUGCUCAACCUUAACUCAAAAUGCCAGAUGAAUGAUAUGCUGUCAUGAAUUAAUUAAUUCGUUGGUGUGCACCUAUAGCUCCUUUGCUUAUACCAGUGCAUGACUUAGCAGUGUUUACAGUGAAACAGAACACGGGUGAGGAUUCAUGUGACUAAAUGUUUGUGUGUAAGUGUAUUUAUCAAGCUCAGUGUUUCCUCCUCUUACCUGCAGUGCUUUCAUGCUCUCAUAUUACCAGCUCUCUAUCUAUUAUCUCUCUUUCCCUCUCCAACACCUCUUCUCUCUCUCUCCAUCUCCCUCUCCCUCUCUCUCUCUCACUAGCUUGCCAAGCCAGCCGGUGUUGACGAUGCACUAGCUGUUGAAAGAGAGUGUGUGUAUUUGUGUGUGUGUGUGUGUGUGUGUGUGUGUGUGUGUGUGUGUGUGUGCCUGUGUGUGUGCUGUUGACAGAGCUGAGAGAUUUAAUUGACACCCACAGAGAGAAUUAUACAAGCUUCCAAAUGCUCUCUAUCUGUGUGCAUGUGUAUGUGUUUAAUGUAAGCCAGAGUCUCUCUCUCUCUCUCUCUCUCUUUCUGUGUGUGUGUGUGUGUGUGUGUGUGUGUGUUGAUGCCCACCUCUAAAAUCUAUGUGCUCAUAUGAAGGGGGUCUGUGAGUGUGUUUGGAGACUGUUUUUCCGUGUUUUGACAGAGGCAGUUCAUAUCACUGUUUCACUUCUGUCCUCUCUGCUUUCCUCCCUCUUUCUCUUUCACUCCACCAUCCCAUCCUCAGCUCUUGUUUGUAAUGUUUUCUCUUUUUAUCACCCUCUCUUGGUUGAAUGUGCCCUGUAAUGAAGAUCUUUGAUAUAUUGUCUUUUUACAAUACUGCAAAACAAACCCAGUGAAUUACAGCAUUCAGUGCAAGCUGUUAUCUCCCUGCUUUCUCCAUCUGUGAGUUGAUAUGCAUCUGCAUUCAUGCUGUUGCUGUACUUGAGUGAACAGUACAUUGAUUGUGCUAUUGUCUAUGCAGUGUAAGAGAAUGAGUGUGCUUCUAAACCCUCAAAGGACCAAUCACAAAUCAAGAAAAUAUGCCAUAGAUGCCACAGUUCUGUGCAGCUCUUUGAGGAUUUUAGCCUCCUUUACAGGCUGAUAGUUUAAUCACACUCAGGAAGGUUUGAAUCAAGCCGAAGCAAGAUUUUUAUGAAGCUCCUCACAAGAUCAGUUGUUUCUGUUUCUAAUAAUGAUAAUUUCUCUUCUCGGGUAACCACAAAUUUUUUCUAUAUUGUUUUUGAAUUGUCAGAUUUAUUUUGUUUUUGGAUUAAAAUCAUUUAUUUUUUGGCUGACUUAUUUUUU